UACGUAGGUGGCAAGCGUUGUCCGGAGUUAUUGGGCGUAAAGGGCGCGUAGGCGGUCGGAUAAGUCUUGUGUGAAAUCUUCGGGCUCAACUCGAAGUCUGCACAGGAAACUAUCUGGCUUGAGUGUGGGAGAGGUGAGUGGAAUUCCUGGUGUAGCGGUGAAAUGCGUUGAGAUCGGAAGGAACGCCCGUGGCGAAAGCGGGCCCCUGGACGUCUACUGACGCUGAGACGCGAAAGCCAGGGGAGCGAACGGG
rnacentral:rRNA from 1 species